rnacentral:rRNA from 1 species
ACGCACGCUGGCGGCGUGCUUCACACCUGCAAGUCGCACGGAAAGGCCCUGCUUUUGUGGGGUGCUCGAGUGGCGAACGGGUGAGUAACACGUGAGUAACCUGCCCUUGACUUUGGGAUAACUUCAGGAAACUGGGGCUAAUACCGGAUAGGAGCUCCUGCUGCAUGGUGGGGGUUGGAAAGUUUCGGCGGUUGGGGAUGGACUCGCGGCUUAUCAGCUUGUUGGUGGGGUAGUGGCUUACCAAGGCUUUGACGGGUAGCCGGCCUGAGAGGGUGACCGGCCACAUUGGGACUGAGUUACAGCCCAGACUCCUACGGGAGGCAGCAGUGGGGAAUAUUGCACAAUGGGCGGAAGCCUGAUGCAGCAACGCCGCGUGCGGGAUGACGGCCUUCGGGUUGUAAACCGCUUUCGCCUGUGACGAAGCGUGAGUGACGGUAAUGGGUAAAGAAGCACCGGCUAACUACGUG